rnacentral:siRNA from 1 species
UGUAACAAAAAAUUUCUGGACA